GAUGAACGCUGGCGGCGUGCCUAAUACAUGCAAGUCGAGCGAAUGGAUUAAGAGCUUGCUCUUAUGAAGUUAGCGGCGGACGGGUGAGUAACACGUGGGUAACCUGCCCAUAAGACUGGGAUAACUCCGGGAAACCGGGGCUAAUACCGGAUAACAUUUUGAACCGAAUGGUUCGAAAUUGAAAGGCGGCUUCGGCUGUCACUUAUGGAUGGCCCCGCGUCGCAUUAGCUAGUUGGUGAGGUAACGGCUCACCAAGGAAACGAUGCGUAGCCGACCUGAGAGGGUGAUCGGCCACACUGGGACUGAGACACGGCCCAGACUCCUACGGGAGGCAGCAGUAGGGAAUCUUCCGCAAUGGACGAAAGUCUGACGGAGCAACGCCGCGUGAGUGAUGAAGGCUUUCGGGUCGUAAAACUCUGUUGUUAGGGAAGAACAAGUGCUAGUUGAAUAAGCUGGCACCUUGACGGUACCUAACCAGAAAGCCACGGCUAACUACGUGCCAGCCGCCGCGGUAA
rnacentral:rRNA from 1 species